GUGAAUCAUCAAAUCUUUGAACGCAAAUUGCACUCUCCUCCCCUUUUAUGCCUGUUUGAGGGUCAGCCUAUAAAAAAUCGACAUCGUUGCUGUUUCGCGGUUGCGGUCGUCGGAAAUUGGGUCAUCUUAAAUCUUUUGUUUUUAAGCGACUUAAAAUUUUCUUUUUGGUUCCAUGAACGUUUCUAAGAUUUAUUUCUUUACACGUUUAAGGUAUAGAUUGUUAUUAGACGUGACCAUCAUCUCGGAGCGCGCCCAUAAUCUGUCAUUAACUGACCUCAGACAGGUA
rnacentral:misc_RNA from 1 species